rnacentral:rRNA from 1 species
ACGAACGCUGGCGGCGUGCCUAAUACAUGCAAGUUGAGCGCUGAAGGUUGGUACUUGUACCAACUGGAUGAGCAGCGAACGGGUGAGUAACGCGUGGGGAAUCUGCCUUUGAGCGGGGGACAACAUUUGGAAACGAAUGCUAAUACCGCAUAAAAACUUUAAACACAAGUUUUAAGUUUGAAAGAUGCAAUUGCAUCACUCAAAGAUGAUCCCGCGUUGUAUUAGCUAGUUGGUGAGGUAAAGGCUCACCAAGGCGAUGAUACAUAGCCGACCUGAGAGGGUGAUCGGCCACAUUGGGACUGAGACACGGCCCAAACUCCUACGGGAGGCAGCAGUAGGGAAUCUUCGGCAAUGGACGAAAGUCUGACCGAGCAACGCCGCGUGAGUGAGGAAGGUUUUCGGAUCGUAAAACUCUGUUGGUAGAGAAGAACGUUGGUGAGAGUGGAAAGCUCAUCAAGUGACGGUAACUACCCAGAAAGGGACGGCUAACUACGUG